rnacentral:rRNA from 2 species
AUCCAGCCAUGCCGCGUGUGUGAAGAAGGCCUUUUGGUUGUAAAGCACUUUAAGCGAGGAGGAGGCUACUCUAGUUAAUACCUAGAGAUAGUGGACGUUACUCGCAGAAUAAGCACCGGCUAACUCUGUGCCAGCAGCCGCGGUAAUACAGAGGGUGCAAGCGUUAAUCGGAUUUACUGGGCGUAAAGCGCGCGUAGGUGGCCAAUUAAGUCAAAUGUGAAAUCCCCGAGCUUAACUUGGGAAUUGCAUUCGAUACUGGUUGGCUAGAGUAUGGGAGAGGAUGGUAGAAUUCCAGGUGUAGCGGUGAAAUGCGUAGAGAUCUGGAGGAAUACCGAUGGCGAAGGCAGCCAUCUGGCCUAAUACUGACACUGAGGUGCGAAAGCAUGGGGAGCAAACAGGAUUAGAUACCCUGGUAGUCCAUGCCGUAAACGAUGUCUACUAGCCGUUGGGGCCUUUGAGGCUUUAGUGGCGCAGCUAACGCGAUAAGUAGACCGCCUGGGGAGUACGGUCGCAAGACUA